UACGUAGGGGGCAAGCGUUGUCCGGAUUUAUUGGGCGUAAAGAGCGUGUAGGCGGUUUGGUAGGUCCGUUGUGAAAACUCGAGGCUCAACCUCGAGACGCCGAUGGAAACCGUCAGACUAGAGUCCGGAAGAGGAGAGUGGAAUUCCUGGUGUAGCGGUGAAAUGCGCAGAUAUCAGGAAGAACACCCGUGGCUAAGGCGGCUCUCUAGUACGGUACUGACGCUGAGACGCGAAAGCGUGGGGAGCGAACAGG
rnacentral:rRNA from 1 species